rnacentral:rRNA from 1 species
GAGUUUGAUCAUGGCUCAGAACGUACGCUGGCGGCACGCCUAACACAUGCAAGUCGAACGAAGUAGCAAUACUUAGUGGCAGACGGGUGAGUAACAUGUAGGUAUCUGCCCUUUGGCCUGGAAUAACACGAGGAAACUUGUGCUAAUACCGGAUAAGUCUUUACGGAGAAAGCUUUAUGCACCAUUGGAUGAGCCUGCACUUGAUUAGUUCGUUGGUGGGGUAAUGGCCUACCAAGACUGUGAUCAAUAGCUGAUUUGAGAGGAUGAUCAGCCACAUUGGGACUGAGACACGGCCCAAACUCCUACGGGAGGCAGCAGUGGGGAAUCUUGCACAAUGGAGGAAACUCUGAUGCAGCGAUGCCGCGUGAGUGAAGAAGGCCCUUGGGUUGUAAAGCUCUUUCGUCGGGGAAGAAAAUGACUGUACCCGAAUAAGAAGGUCCGGCUAACUUCGUGCCAGCAGCCGCGGUAAUACGAAGGGACCUAGCGUAGUUCGGAAUUACUGGGCUUAAAGAGUUCGUAGGUGGUUGAAAAAGUUAGUGGUGAAAUCCCAGAGCUUAACUCUGGAACUGCCAUUAAAACUUUUCAGCUAGAGUAUGAUAGAGGAAGCAGAAUUUCUAGUGUAGAGGUGAAAUUCGUAGAUAUUAGAAAGAAUACCGAUUGCGAAGGCAGCUUUCUGGAUCAUUACUGACACUGAGGAACGAAAGCAUGGGUAGCGAAGAGGAUUAGAUACCCUCGUAGUCCAUGCCGUAAACGAUGUGUGUUAGACGUUGGAAAUUUAUUUUCAGUGUCGCAGGAAACCGAUAAACACACCGCCUGGG